GACGUAGGGCGCGAGCGUUGUCCGGAUUUAUUGGGCGUAAAGAGCUCGUAGGCGGCUUGUCGCGUCGUCCGUGAAAACCUGCAGCUCAACUGCAGGCUUGCGGGCGAUACGGGCAGGCUAGAGUUCGGUAGGGGAGACUGGAAUUCCUGGUGUAGCGGUGAAAUGCGCAGAUAUCAGGAGGAACACCGGUGGCGAAGGCGGAUCUCUGGGCCGAUACUGACGCUGAGGAGCGAAAGCGUGGGGAGCGAACAGG
rnacentral:rRNA from 1 species